GAAAUGCGAUAAGUAAUGUGAAUUGCAGAAUUCAGUGAAUCAUCGAAUCUUUGAACGCACAUUGCGCCCGCCAGUAUUCUGGCGGGUAUGCCUGUUCGAGCGUCAUUUCAACCAUCAAGCCCCCGGCUUGUGUUGGGGACCUGCGGCUGCCCGCAGGCCCUGAAAAACAGUGGCGGGCUCGCUGUCACACCGAGCGUAGUAGCAUACAUUCUCGCUCAGGGCGUGCUGCGGGUUCCGGCCGUUAAACGACCUUCAUAACCCAAGGUUGACCUCGGAUCAGGUAGGAAGACCCGCUGAACUUAAG
rnacentral:misc_RNA from 1 species